AUAUUGGCCAGAGACCAAUAGCGCACAAGUAGAGUGAUCGAAAGAUGAAAAGCACUUUGGAAAGAGAGUCAAACAGCACGUUAAAUUGUUGAAAGGGAAGCGCUUGCAGCCAGACUUGCUUGCAGUUGCUCAUCCGGGCUUUUGCCCGGUGCACUCUUCUGCAGGCAGGCCAGCAUCAGUUUGGGCGGUAAGAUAAAGGUCUCUGUCACGUACCUCUCUUCGGGGAGGCCUUAUAGGGGAGACGACAUAUUACCAGCCUAGACUGAGGUCCGCGCAUCUGCUAGGAUGCUGGCGUAAUGGCUGUAAGCGGCCCGUCUUGAAACACGGACC
rnacentral:rRNA from 1 species